GACGAACGCUGGCGGCGUGCCUAAUACAUGCAAGUCGAGCGAACCGCGACUGAGUGCUUGCACUUGGUCAAGGUGAGUGGCGAACGGGUGAGUAACACGUGGGUAACCUACCUCAUAGUGGGGGAUAACAGUCGGAAACGACUGCUAAUACCGCAUAGGACAUAGGAUCACAUGAUCCAGUGAGGAAAGGUGGCGCAAGCUAUCGCUAAGAGAUGGACCCGCGGUGCAUUAGCUAGUUGGUAGGGUAAAGGCCUACCAAGGCGAUGAUGCAUAGCCGACCUGGGAGGGUGAUCGGCCACAUUGGGACUGAGACACGGCCCAAACUCCUACGGGAGGCAGCAGUAGGGAAUCUUCCGCAAUGGACGCAAGUCUGACGGAGCAACGCCGCGUGAGUGAAGAAGGUCUUCGGAUCGUAAAGCUCUGUUGUUAGAGAAGAACAGCGCAUAGAGUAACUGCUAUGCGUGUGACGGUAUCUAACCAGAAAGCCACGGCUAACUACGUG
rnacentral:rRNA from 1 species